GUCUCCUGGGUGCUGUGUUGUGAGGAGGUGGAGUCUCCCUGGGUGCUGUGUGUGUGUGUGAGGAGGUGGAGUCUCCCUGGGUGCUGUGUGUGUGUGAGGAGGUGGAGUCUCCUGGGUGCUGUGUGUGUGAGGAGGUGGAGUCUCCCUGGGUGCUGUGUGUGUGUGUGAGGAGGAGGAGUCUCCCUGGGUGCUGUGUGUGUGAGGAGGUGGAGUCUCCUGGGUGCUGUGUGUGUGAGGAGGUGGAGUCUCCCUGGGUGCUGUGUGUGUGUGAGGAGGUGGAGUCUCCCUGGGUGCUGUGUGUGUGUGUGUGAGGAGGUGGAGUCUCCCUGGGUGCUGUGUGUGUGUGAGGAGGAGGAGUCUCCCUGGGUGCUGUGUGUGUGUGAGGAGGUGGAGUCUCCCUGGGUGCUGUGUGUGUGAGGAGGUGGAGUCUCCCUGGGUGCUGUGUGUGUGUGAGGAGGAGGAGUCUCCCUGGGUGCUGUGUGUGUGAGGAGGUGGAGUCUCCCUGGGUGCUGUGUGUGUGUGUGUGAGGAGGUGGAGUCUCCCUGGGUGCUGUGUGUGUGAGGAGGUGGAGUCUCCCUGGGUGCUGUGUGUGUGUGAGGAGGUGGAGUCUCCCUGGGUGCUGUGUGUGUGUGUGAGGAGGAGGAGUCUCCCUGGGUGCUGUGUGUGUGAGGAGGUGGAGUCUCCCUGGGUGCUGUGUGUGUGUGUGUGAGGAGGUGGAGUCUCCCUGGGUGCUGUGUGUGUGAGGAGGUGGAGUCUCCCUGGGUGCUGUGUGUGUGUGUGUGAGGAGGUGGAGUCUCCCUGGGUGCUGUGUGUGUGUGUGUGAGGAGGAGGAGUCUCCCUGGGUGCUGUGUGUGUGUGUGUGAGGAGGUGGAGUCUCCCUGGGUGCUGUGUGUAUGUGAGGAGGUGGAGUCUCCCUGGGUGCUGUGUGUGUGUGAGGAGGUGGAGUCUCCCUGGGUGCUGUGUGUGUGUGAGGAGGUGGAGUCUCCCUGGGUGCUGUGUGUGUGUGAGGAGGUGGAGUCUCCCUGGGUGCUGUGUGUGUGUGUGAGGAGGUGGAGUCUCCCUGGGUGCUGUGUGUGUGAGGAGGUGGAGUCUCCCUGGGUGCUGUGUGAGGAGGUGGAGUCUCCCUGGGUGCUGUGUGUGUGUGUGUGUGAGGAGGUGGAGUCUCCUGGGUGCUGUGUGAGGAGGUGGAGUCUCCCUGGGUGCUGUGUGGAGGUGGUGGAGUCCCUCAAUGCUUCCCUGGGGAGCUCUCACAUGGGGCGAUGCUUUUUGGAGCCAGCAUGGGGUGGAGGUCGUUGAGCCUUGCCUGACCCUGCGACCCCUCGCUGCUGAGCAAGGCCCCGGCCCUGGCCUCCUGAACGGUGCAGGUCUGCCUUGGCCACUGGGUGGAGUCUGGGCAGCCGCUCCUGGCGGUGAUCAGCCCCUCUCUGGGUCUGGUGCCACCGUGCCCUUAGCUCACAGGCACUGCCUCUCGGGUGUUAGCAUCGUGGACCUGGGCUCGCAUCACGCCAGAGGUGAUGAGGUGGGUCUGAAGAGCCUUUGGGGGAGGGCUCAAGCUUCCUGGGCCAUCGAGGGGUCCCCGUACGCUGGGUCGGGGUACAGGCCUCUGUAGCCAUCCCUCCAUCGCAAGGGAGGCCCUUUGCAGCACUCCAGGAGGUUCCUCGUAUCCCCCCGGAGGGUCUGCGUCUGCUCUGCCCCGUGCCCCAGCCCUCGGGGCAGACUCUGCGUGUGGGGGAAGUCUGGCCGCCACCCUACCAGAGGCCGGGUCACUUGCCGUGUCACAGCCGAGCAGUGUGCUGGGGUGGGGUCCCGUCUGUCUGUGUCGUCCACCACUGGUGGACACUUGGCUGUUGCCAAGCGGCCGUGGACAGCUGCAUACCAUCUCUGGGCGUCUGUUUUCAUUUUCCUUGGGUAAACACCUAGAAGUGGAACAGCUUGGACUGAUAGAAAUUGUAUAAACAGACGAUUUAACUUUAUAAGUAACUGCCAAAUGGUUGUACCAUUUUACACCCGCCCCUUUUCCUAGGUGGCUGCCCCAGUAUCUGUCAGACGGUAGGAGGUGGGCAGGGAGGCAGCCCCAGGGGGCUGUGGGCCCCACGUUCCGGAACGGGUCCAUGAUUGUGAAAGUUGGGAGUGCCGUGAGCCUCACUUCUCGUGGAUGUUUGAGUGCAGGUGAUGAAGUCUGGUGUCUCCACGCCCCUCCCACUGUCCUCUCUGAGAGCUGCCCCCGCUGACCCCCGGCUGACCCUGGCAGAGUGAGUGACAGCUCGGUCCCAGCAGCCACUGCAGGCCUGGGUGGGGUUGUGGCCUUCUCAACAGACAUGGGGCCACAGGUUCUUGGGAAGCAGGAGUGGGGGAAUCGGGCCCCGGCUUCAGGCUUGGAACCGGACUGUGAACCAGAAUCGCAGGCAGAAGCCCCUCCGCCCUCGGGUGCAGACAGGGAAGCAGGAGCCCAGGUGUCCAGGGCACACAGGCCAGACAGAGCCCAGAGCUGGUCCCAGCUGACGCCAGGGGACGGUGCCGCAGACACUCGGGGUUUCCGCUGUGUGUUCCUGCGGCCGCAUGGCGGGAAUGGCCAUGGUGUGCAUCUGGCUGGCUCUGGGCUCU